rnacentral:rRNA from 1 species
CCGGUCUGAGAGGAUGGCCGCCACAAGGGCACUGAGAGACGGGCCCUACUCCUACGGGAGGCAGCAGUGGGGGAUUUUGGACAAUGGGCGAAAGCUGGAUCCAGCGACGGCGCGUGGAGGACGAAGGCCUUCGGGGUGUAAACUCCUUUUCUCAGGGAAAAAAGCUGAUGGUACCUGAGGAAUAAGCCCCGGCUAACUACGUGCCAGCAGCCGCGGUAAUACGUAGGGGGCGAGCGUUACCCCGAAUUACUGGGCGUAAAGGGUGCGUAGGCGGCCUUACAAGUCCCGUGUUAAAAGCCCUGGCUCAACUAGGGGGAUGCGCUGGAAACUGUGAGGCUUUGGUGCAGCAGAGGCA